AUGGAGGACGGGAGCACCAGCAUCUACCAAUGGAGGAGAAUAAAUACUUUUAUUAACCAAAACAAUAAUCCACUGAUGGAGAACAAGGAAGAUGGAAGACUACCAUCAUCUACCAAUGGAGGAGGAGGAGGAGAAAAAUGCGGGAGCACCAGCAUCCAAAAGUGUCCCAUAAUCAGCCACAGGAGGAGAUAUCAGCAGAGGAAAGAAAGACUAAUAACCAAAACAAUGUAAGCAAAACCUCUCAUUUACACAGAAAGACACUCACAUGUUUAAUGUAUAAAUAGACGUCACGUUUUACUAACGCCUGUAAAAUUUCGGAGAGGAACGCCAACAUCCACUGAUGGAGGAGAAGAAAGAUGGAGGACGGGAGUGCCAGCAUCUACCAAUGGAGGAGAAGAAAUACUUUUAUUAACCAAAACAAUGUAAGUAAAACCUCUCGUUUACACAGAAAGACACUGGACACGUUUAUUGUAAAAAUUUACUUUCUAAUAAUACCUGUAAAAUGUUCGACUUGACCACCAGAAUCCACUGAUGAGAACAAGGAAGAUGGAAGACUACCAUCAUCUACCAAUAGACGAGCAGGAGAAAAAUGGGGGAGCACCAGCAUCCAAGUGUCCCACAAUCAGCCACAGGAGGAGAUAUCAGCAGAGGAAAGAAAGACUAACAACCAAAACAAUGUAAGCAAAACCUCUCAUUUACAAAGAAAGACACUGAUCACAUGUUUAAUGUAUAAAUAGACGUCACGUUUUACUAACACCUGUAAUAUUUUGGAGAGGAACGCCAACAUCCACUGAUGGAGGAGGAGAAGAAAGAUGGAGGGAGUACAUCAUCGACCAAUGGAGGAGCAGGAGAAAAAUGGGGGAGCACCAGCAUCCAAAAGUGUCCCACAAUCAGCCCUAGGAGGAGACGCCAGCAGAGGAAAGAAACAAUAUUAACCAAAACAAUGUAAGUAAAACCUGUCAUUUACACAGAAAGACACUGGACACGUUUAUUGUAAAAAUGCUGCCAUUGGUAAAAAAAAAAAAGAGAAAUAGAUG
rnacentral:lncRNA from 1 species